AAGUCGUAACAAGGUUUCCGUAGGUGAACCUGCGGAAGGAUCAUUAACACGUUAUCCAACGUAUCAACCAAAGAGAACCGUUUUCACACCUCCCGGAGGCAAAGCAUGAGUGGGCAAUUAGCGACAGGCAUUGAAAGGGAUUGCUUCGGCGUCAACCUGUCACUAAUCACUAAGAUAAAUCGAAAGAUUUAUUUUGACACUGUAGUUUUGUUGAAGGCAAACCAAUGUUCUGGCUCAGUACUCUCCUUUCAUUGUAGGAUUGGGCCAGGAUUAAAUUUCUUCACAAAUUUCACCCCCCUUUUUGCUAGUUGACUUUAAUACUGUUGCUUUUUUUACGCUCGUCGUGAAAAGAAUGACACGUUUAAUUAAUUGAACGUUAAAAAUACAACUCUUAGCAAUGGAUAUCUUGGUUCUC
rnacentral:misc_RNA from 1 species